UUUAAGAAGUCUGUGGUAUUCCAAGAAAAGCAACUUGCACUUUGCCAACUGCGUCUUAAAUGGAACUAAGCAUUAUUGAGAUCAAUGCUUGUGAAGGGAUCAACCUGCUUUUCUGAGUUACACACAGCAGAAGGAAGACAGCAACCUCAGAAUAGUCAAUGAACUGGGAAAUGUACAUUUCUUCUGAAGGUUGUGAUUUCCUCCCACUGGUGGCCUUGAAACAGAGAAAAGCUAAUUUUAACGCCAAUGACAUAGAACAUUUUGUAAGAGGCACAUGUUACCUCAAGAUGCAUGAGGACAGAGUAAAGCAACUGCUUCGCCACGCUUGCUGCAAUACUGACAGACUGGAAAAUAUCAAAGGUCCUGAUGCUGCAGACCAGAGUCACAUGAAGUGUCCUAGACUACAUCUCUACUGUGUAUGAUACAAGUCUAAGCAGUAAAACCUCCCACUCAUCACAGUUAUGCCCAAAAUUAGGAUUCAGGCAGAUGUAUGUCUAUGCAUACAGAUGUAUAUCUCAGCUGGGAGAUGGUAAACAUGGGAGUCACAUCUUAAUUUAAUUGAUCGAUCUCUGAUAGACAAGAUCCUGGACAGCUGUUUAAGGCUUCUCCUAAAUUCUGUUCCAAUCGUUAACCAAGCAGACAGGUGUAAAGUCACACACACUUUAAGUUAACCUGUUACACAUUGAGCUGGAAUAGAGAAGUACUCAUAAAAUCAGCACUAGACUCAGCUGGAAUACGAUUUCUGAUAGCACAGCUGCAACCACUGUCUGCCUGUGUAAGCAUGUUUUUACCACUCUACUCCACUGUGGGGUUAAGCUAUCCUGUCUUCCCUUCUACUAGUGGAGCAGAUGCAGUGCAUGUAGAGGUAGGUGCUGGUCUCAGCUGAUAUCUUUACUAGCUGUUGCUUUCCUAGCCACAUAUGUUUGAAUACUUCUCUUCCUGUGUAGAGUUCAAAGACACGUAUAUCAAGAUGGUAACUAAUUGGACUUGAGUGAAACUACAAACCCAUGCUCAGACAAGACCUACAGUAUACACGAAUAAUUCGUCAAAGUUUGGACCACGAUUGGCUACUAGUGAAUACUUGUGCUGAGCUGUAUCAGAUGGAAAAUACAUUUUUUUUAACACUGAUUUAUAUGGACUUCAGCAUUAGCCAUGAGGGAAGUGGCUCUUUGGGGUAUUUACUUAAGGUCAAAUCCUUUCACAGAGCCAUUUGUCUCUUGGUACAAAUGUCACCGUAAGUACACUUUGAGGAAAUGCAGCCAUAGAGAAGGAAGCUUGGACAGUGUGAAUCAGCAGCAUGAAAGUGGCCUUAUGAAAGAAGAGCUUGCAAACUAUUAUUAACGGACUAGAAAAUGUUUUAAAACAUCAUUAGACAGAGCAGAAGAUGUUUUAGAUGUAUUCUAAAUGAUUGCAUGGUAGGUAACUAAAGAGUGCCCACUAAAGUCAUCAGGGACAUUCCCAGUGGCCUCCAAGAGGUAGGAUCAGAUGGCAAAUAUACCUGCAGUCCCAGAGGGGCACAUACCAGAGACAACAUUUAAUGCAUACAUUUUUGAACUUCCCAACCGCAGUUGUUCAUAAUCCAUACCCAGUACAAGUGUUUGAUCUUCAGAACUGCCAGGCAGCGAGGAAGUACGCUGAGCCCCCAUAGGUUCUACUGAGGUGCCAGGAGCAAGAGGACCAUGGUUUGAAAAUGUUGGUCUUAAUCACUUAAAUGCAUGUGUAACUUCACCAGAGUGAAAGUCUGCUCAUCCAUGCACAAAUGUGGGUGAAUUAGCCAGAUUUCACAAGGAGAUCAUGUAACAGAAAGGCAAACAGUCAUUUUCUCCAGUGAGUAAAGUCCUCAAUCUCUGUCCUCAAUAAAUCUAUCAUUUCCAUUAUUUUUAGCAAGUGUCCAGAAAAAUUAACAUUGCUUGUUUCAUUUUGGCUGUAAUGCUUUCUUUUUAGAGGAUGAAAUAAAUGUGGACUUUGCCUCAG